rnacentral:rRNA from 1 species
UACAGAGGUCUCAAGCGUUGUUCGGAUUCAUUGGGCGUAAAGGGUGCGUAGGUGGCGCCGUAAGUCAGGUGUGAAAUUUCGGAGCUUAACUCCGAAACUGCAUUUGAUACUGCGGUGCUUGAGGACUGGAGAGGAGACUGGAAUUUACGGUGUAGCAGUGAAAUGCGUAGAGAUCGUAAGGAAGACCAGUGGCGAAGGCGGGUCUCUGGACAGUUCCUGACACUGAAGCGCGAAAGCUAGGGGAGCAAACGGG